rfam:Gossypium raimondii Chr13_contig_5, whole genome shotgun sequence.
AAUUGAUCCAUUUUUACUAUUAAAAAUUGGCUUAGCUAACAUAAUAACCAGACAGUUAUAUGUGGUAUGCCACGCAUACUUCAUUCUAAUAUACAAAGGCCAAUUUUUAAUAAUAGAAAUGAAUGAACA